rfam:Prunus persica cultivar Lovell chromosome G4, whole genome shotgun sequence.
UUUUGGAAACUCACUGGCUUCAGAGUUAUGGAAACUCCGAAGUUAAGCAAGUUGGGGCUAGAGCAAUCCCAAGAUGGGUGACCUACUGGGAAGUUGCUCAUGAGUUCCCAGAAA